rnacentral:rRNA from 1 species
GAGUUUGAUCAUGGCUCAGGAUGAACGCUGGCGGCGUGCUUAACACAUGCGAAGUCGAACGAUGGACUUUUGUGCUUGCACAAGAUGAUUAGUGGCGAACGGGUGAGUAACACGUGAGUAACCUGCCCUUGACUCUGGGAUAAGCCUGGGAAACUGGGUCUAAUACUGGAUAUGCACCGUGGACCGCAUGGUUCUUGGUGGAAAGAUUUAUUGGUCGGGGAUGGACUCGCGGCCUAUCAGCUUGUUGGUGAGGUAAUGGCUCACCAAGGCGACGACGGGUGGCCGGCCUGAGAGGGUGACCGGCCACACUGGGACUGAGACACGGCCCAGACUCCUACGGGAGGCAGCAGUGGGGAAUAUUGCACAAUGGGCGAAAGCCUGAUGCAGCGACGCCGCGUGAGGGAUGACGGCCUUCGGGUUGUAAACCUCUUUCAGUAGGGAAGAAGCGAAAGUGACGGUACCUGCAGAAGAAGCGCCGGCUAACUACGUGCCAGCAGCCGCGGUAAUACGUAGGGCGCAAGCGUUAUCCGGAAUUAUUGGGCGUAAAGAGCUCGUAGGCGGUUUGUCGCGUCUAUCGUGAAAGUCCGAGGCUCAANCUCGGAUCUGCGGUGGGUACGGGCAGACUAGAGUGAUGUAGGG